rnacentral:ncRNA from 1 species
GUUUCAGGGCGGGGUGGAAUUCCCCACCGGCGGUGACGGGACGGCGCACGGGACGCCCCACCCGAAGUCCGCGAGCCGCGACAAAAAGAGCGGCCGACCCGGUGCGAAUCCGGGACCGACGGUCAGAGUCCGGAUGGAAGAAA